GACGAACGCUGGCGGCGUGCUUAACACAUGCAAGUCGAACGGAAAGGCCCUGCUUUUGUGGGGUGCUCGAGUGGCGAACGGGUGAGUAACACGUGAGUAACCUGCCCUUGACUUUGGGAUAACUUCAGGAAACUGGGGCUAAUACCGGAUAGGAGCUCCUGCUGCAUGGUGGGGGUUGGAAAGUUUCGGCGGUUGGGGAUGGACUCGCGGCUUAUCAGCUUGUUGGUGGGGUAGUGGCUUACCAAGGCUUUGACGGGUAGCCGGCCUGAGAGGGUGAACGGCCACAAUGGGACUGAGAUACGGCCCAGACUCCUACGGGAGGCAGCAGUGGGGAAUAUUGCACAAUGGGCGGAAGCCUGAUGCAGCAACGUCGCGUGCGGGAUGACGGCCUUCGGGUUGUAAACCGCUUUCGCCUGUGACGAAGCGUGAGUGACGGUAAUGGGUAAAGAAGCACCGGCUAACUACGUG
rnacentral:rRNA from 1 species